UGGGGGAUAUUGCACAAUGGGCGAAAGCCUGAUGCAGCGACGCCGCGUGGGGGAUGAAGGCUUUCGGGUUGUAAACCUCUUUCGCUAUCGAACAAGGCCCGCUUAGGGUGGGUUGAGGGUAGGUGGAGAAGAAGCGCCGGCUAACUACGUGCCAGCAGCCGCGGUAAUACGUAGGGCGCGAGCGUUGUCCGGAAUUAUUGGGCGUAAAGGGCUUGUAGGCGGCUUGUUGCGCCUGCUGUGAAAACGCGGGGCUUAACUUCGCGCGUGCAGUGGGUACGGGCAGGCUUGAGUGUGGUAGGGGUGACUGGAAUUCCAGGUGUAGCGGUGGAAUGCGCAGAUAUCUGGAGGAGCACGGAUGGCGAAGGCAGGUCACUGGGCCAUUACUGACGCUGAGGAGCGAAAGCAUGGGUAGCGAACAGG
rnacentral:rRNA from 1 species